rnacentral:rRNA from 1 species
UACAGGGACUGCAAGCGUUAUUCGGAUUCACUGGGCGUAAAGGGUGCGCAGGCGGCCAAGUGUGUGAGGCGUGAAAGCCCGGGGCUUAACCCCGGAAUUGCACCUCAAACUACAUGGCUAGAGCAUUGGAGAGGGUAGCAGAAUUCACGGUGUAGCAGUGAAAUGCGUAGAUAUCGUGAGGAAUACCAGAGGCGAAGGCGGCUACCUGGACAAUUGCUGACGCUCAGGCACGAAAGCGUGGGGAGCAAAAGGG